UACGUAGGGGGCUAGCGUUAUCCGGAAUUACUGGGCGUAAAGGGUGCGUAGGUGGUUUCUUAAGUCAAAGGUGAAAGGCUACGGCUCAACCGUAGUAAGCCUUUGAAACUGAGAAACUUGAGUGCAGGAGAGGAGAGUAGAAUUCCUAGUGUAGCGGUGAAAUGCGUAGAUAUUAGGAGGAAUACCAGUUGCGAAGGCGGCUCUCUGGACUGUAACUGACACUGAGGCACGAAAGCGUGGGGAGCAAACAGG
rnacentral:rRNA from 1 species